rnacentral:rRNA from 1 species
AUGGAGUGCAAGGAUGUCGGGAUCCUCGCCAUGGACAUGUAUUUCCCUCCCACCUGCGUCCAGCAGGAAGCGCUGGAGGUUCAUGACGGAGCCAGCAAGGGGAAGUACACAAUUGGUCUUGGGCAAGAUUGCAUGGCCUUCUGCAGCGAGGUAGAAGAUGUCAUCUCGAUGAGCUUGACAGUUGUCAAAUCCCUGCUGGAGAAGUACCACAUAGAUCCGAAGCUAAUUGGCCGCCUGGAGGUUGGUAGCGAGACAGUGAUAGACAAAAGUAAAUCCAUCAAAACAUGGCUGAUGCAAAUUUUUGAGGAAAGUGGUAAUACUGACAUUGAGGGAGUUGACUCAAGUAACGCAUGUUAUGGUGGGACAGCUGCCCUGUUGAAUUGUGUGAAUUGGGUCGAAAGUCGAUGCUGGGAUGGACGCUACGGCCUUGUGGUCUGCACAGAUAGCGCGGUUUAUGCAGAGGGACCAGCUCGGCCUACGGGUGGAGCUGCUGCAAUUGCUAUGCUUAUUGGUCCAAACGCACCUAUUUCUUUUGAAAGUAAAUAUAGAGCUUCUCACAUGGCUCAUGUUUACGAUUUCUACAAGCCUGAUCUUGCAAGUGAAUAUCCGGUUGUUGAUGGGAAACUAUCUCAAACGUGCUACCUGAUGGCUCUGGAUUCGUGCUAUAGACAGUAUUGCGCCAAGUAUGAGAAGCUAGUGGGUGAACAGUUCUCAAUUUCUGACGCCGAUUAUUGUGUGUUUCAUUCUCCAUAUAAUAAGCUUGUACAGAAGAGUUUUGCUCGACUUUACUUCAAUGAUUUCAUGCGUAAUUGCAGUUCGGUUGAUAAUGAUGCCAAAGAAAAGCUUCAGCCUUUUGCAAACCUGACUAGUGAAGAAAGCUACCAAAGUCGUGACUUGGAAAAGGGCUCUCAACAACUUGCAAAGCAUUUGUAUGACAUCAAAGUUCAACCGUCAACGUUGCUUCCAAAACAAAUUGGUAACAUGUAUACUGCAUCUCUGUAUGCUGCAUUGGCAUCUGUAAUCUACAACAAGCAUGCUAGUCUGAGCGGCCAACGAAUUGUCAUGUUCUCUUACGGCAGUGGCUUGACAUCCACUAUGUUUUCAUUCAAACUAAAUGAGGGUCAGCAUCCCUUUAGUUUAACAAACAUUGCUUCUGUGCUUGAUGUGACGGCAAAGCUUGAGUCAAGACAUGUGACUUCACCUGAGAAGUUCAUCGACACACUGAAGCUGAUGGAGCACCGAUAUGGAGCAAAAGAUUUUGAAACAAGCAAAGACAUAAGCUUGUUGCCACCAGGAACAUUCUACCUUACAAAAGUUGAUUCAAUGUACAGGAGGUUCUAUGAAAAGAAAACCGAUGGCAUCGUUGAUGGCAAAAUCAAGUGCAGCAAUGGCAUUGCGAAUGGUCACUAG